AUUGAACGCUGGCGGCAGGCCUAACACAUGCAAGUCGAGCGGAUGAAGGGAGCUUGCUCCUGGAUUCAGCGGCGGACGGGUGAGUAAUGCCUAGGAAUCUGCCUGGUAGUGGGGGAUAACGUCCGGAAACGGGCGCCAAUACCGCAUACGUCCUGAGGUAGAAAGUGGGGGAUCUUCGGACCUCACGCUAUCAGAUGAGCCUAGGUCGGAUUAGCUAGUUGGUGGGGUAAAGGCCUACCAAGGCGACGAUCCGUAACUGGUCUGAGAGGAUGAUCAGUCACACUGGAACUGAGACACGGUCCAGACUCCUACGGGAGGCAGCAGUGGGGAAUAUUGGACAAUGGGCGAAAGCCUGAUCCAGCCAUGCCGCGUGUGUGAAGAAGGUCUUCGGAUUGUAAAGCACUUUAAGUUGGGAGGAAGGGCAGUAAGUUAAUACCUUGCUGUUUUGACGUUACCAACAGAAUAAGCACCGGCUAACUUCGUG
rnacentral:rRNA from 1 species